rnacentral:rRNA from 1 species
GACGAACGCUGGCGGCGUGCUUAACACAUGCAAGUCGAACGGAAAGGCCCUGCUUUUGUGGGGUGCUCGAGUGGCGAACGGGUGAGUAACACGUGAGUAACCUGCCCUUGGCUUUGGGAUAACUUCAGGAAACUGGGGAUAAUACCGGAUAGGAGCUCCUGAUGCAUGGUGGGGGUUGGAAAGUUUCGUCGGUUUGGGAUCGACUCUCGGGUUAUCAGCUUGUUGGUGGGGUAGUGGCUUACCAGGGCUUUGGCGGGUAGCCGGCCUGGGAGGGUGAACGGCCACAUGGGGCCUGAGAGACGGCCCAGACUCCUACGGGAGGCAGCAGUGGGGAAUAUUGCACAAUGGGCGGAAGCCUGAUGCAGCAACGCCGCGUGCGUGAUGACGGCCUUCGGGUUGUAAACCGCUUUCGCCUGUGACGAAGCGUGAGUGACGGUAAUGGGUAAAGAAGCACCGGCUAACUACGUG